AACCUCUAGGAUAAAUCAAGCCUAAUAGUUAAUGUUUAUGAAGAGUUUUAACACAAAUGGUCAUUGGAACCAUAAAAACAAUUGAGUGAGUUGUAUUUACAAAUGAAAAGUAUUCAUAAAAUAAGGUCAAAGUUGACUUAAGAUUCAAUUCAAAAUAAGUGUUAUGAAAAGAGUUUGAAAAAUCAAAGGCAUAAUGUCUAGGUUUCUAAU
rnacentral:lncRNA from 1 species